AACGAACGCUGGCGGCAGGCUUAACACAUGCCAGUCGAGCGCCUCGCCAGAGGAGCGGCCGGCGGGUGGGUAACGCGUGGGAACGUACCCUUAUCUUCGUAAUAGCUCUUGGAAACUGGAAGUAAUACCGAAUGUGCCCUUAGGGGGAAAGAUUUAUCGGGUAAGGAUCGGCCCGCGUUGGAUUAGCUUGUUGGUGGGGUAAAGGCCUACCAAGGCGACGAUCCAUAGCUGGUCUGAGAGGAUGAUCAGCCACAUUGGGACUGAGACACGGCCCAAACUCCUACGGGAGGCAGCAGUGGGGAAUAUUGGACAAGGGGCGCAAGCCUGAUCCAGCCAGGCCGCGUGAGUGAUGAAGGCCGUAGGGUUGUAAAGCUCUUUCACCGGAGAAGAUAAUGACGGUAUCCGGAGAAGAAGCCCCGGCUAACUUCGUG
rnacentral:rRNA from 1 species